rnacentral:rRNA from 1 species
UACGGGGGGGAGCAAGCGUUGUUCGGAAUUACUGGGCGUAAAGGGCGCGUAGGUGGCCUGUUAAGUCGAACGUGAAAUCCCCGGGCUCAACCCGGGAACUGCGUCCGAGACUGGCAGGCUCGAAUCCGGGAGAGGGAUGUGGAAUUCCAGGUGUAGCGGUGAAAUGCGUAGAUAUCUGGAGGAACACCGGUGGCGAAGGCGGCAUCCUGGACCGGUAUUGACGCUGAGGCGCGAAAGCCAGGGGAGCAAACGGG